rnacentral:rRNA from 1 species
UACGUAGGGUGCGAGCGUUGUCCGGAAUUACUGGGCGUAAAGAGCUCGUAGGCGGUCUGUCGCGUCGAUCGUGAAAACUUGGGGCUUAACCCUGAGCUUGCGGUCGAUACGGGCAUGACUGGAGUUCGGCAGGGGAGACUGGAAUUCCUGGUGUAGCGGUGAAAUGCGCAGAUAUCAGGAGGAACACCGGUGGCGAAGGCGGCAUCCUGGACCGGCAUUGACGCUGAGGAGCGAAAGCCAGGGGAGCAAACGGG